CUCGAUGCUGGAUAAUGCUGACUUAACGUCAGUCUCAAAACGACUGACAAUGGGACAGAAGAUGACCGCCACAUCGCUCUCAUCAGGGGUGACUUCGGUGUCCUGCGAGGCUCUUCAACUCUUUCACUUUCACUGUAGAUAACAUCUGAGAUGACGCACUGUGACGGUCUGAUCGUGACGGGUUGAUGCUCCCCCUCAGGCUUUCACUUCCCUCUGACAAAUGAGCAGUGCUGCUGAUGGAGUGGUCAGCGGG